AAGCCAAAAAAUUUGUGGUGGAUGGUCAAAACUGUUUUACACAGCUUGAGCUUACUCUAGCAACAAAGUCUAACCCAUUUCAGUCCUCUGUCUUCCGUGAGAUAAGCUGCUAUACAGACUCAGUAUGA